CGGAGCAGGACAAGGUAGGUGAGCCAAUAUCUUUUAUUGGACCAACUUCUCACCCACCUCGUCUAAUACCCUGGGACCGACACCGCAGCAACAGUGCUGCAGAAACAGAAGCAGUUGCUUUCCAAGGAGCUGCAAUCAUAAGAACAUUGCUGCAGCUUCUGCUCUGGAUGCAACAAAAAUAACAAGAAGAAACCACAGGCCAGGGCUGGGUCCUAAAUAUCCAUAUUUGCUAAAUGGACACAAACAUGCGAAGCCUAGCUAGAUAUAGCCUGCCGCUCCUACUGGAUACUAGCAGCUUCUCUAACAUAGUACACCAUGAACAUCGUUAGAGGGCUCAUGUAGAGGGAUGCUACCCUGUGCCUAUACGCUGCCGGCAUUUCCUCUUUCCUUAUCUCUUUGAAGGGAAAACUCCCACUCGCUGGGAUCCAGGCAAAGGAGAAAUCUGCUGUCCUGGGGAGACUGGAAUUUGAAAUCACAGGAAGCCUGAUGGAACCGAUCCUGGUCGCCUGCUCCACCGCUGAAGAUUACGAAAAAUGCCUCUUCUACCUACAAAAGCCUGAGCAAAACCUCGACACUGUGACUGUCCAGCCACCACCAAUGGUACCAAAGAAAUCACUGCACCCUUAGAACUACGGAGCCUAUGGAAAAGGCUAGCGCCCAGUGACAGCGCUGACUACAGGGGCCAAACUGAUGGCUAAGGAUGCUGGAGGAAGGAGCCCACCAUUGGCAAAACUAGAGAUGGACCAGAAACAACUUGAAUCCAAACCCCUUCAGACUGAGAAGAUUGAAUUGUGAGUCCUCGAUCUGAACCUACCCUGUGGGGUAUGGUCCCUGGCUGGACUCAUUCAUUUGUGCACAGAUUAGCUGCUGUUCCCGAUGGCCUGUUGGAACCUCCUGGAUAUAAUCCCAGUUGAUCAGACUCCUGGGGGAGAAAUCCUUCCUGGUUUGAUCACUUUAUUUAUUGGCUGCUGCUUCUUGGAGAGAGAAAUAACCUAAGGUAUUGUGUAAAUAGGAUGACUAAAACCCAUCAGCCCAAGCCUUGUGCAGAAGGGAGCAUUCAUGUUAUAGAGUCAUAUCGUUUAAGGCCAGAUGGAACCACUCAGUUACCUAGGCUGACCUCCCGUAUAGCACGGGCUUCCAACACCCGCACAUGAAACCCAGCACCCAGAAUGAGAACAAAGUAUCAGAGCCCAGAGGAGACUAGACCAGUAUGUUCCACAGGCAGAGAUUAGGAGAGAUGGAGGUGCACCAGUACCUGAGGCCCCUGAAGUAGCCCGGAAAUAAUCAAGUGUGAUAUACCUGGAUAAUCCUGACUAGUGACCCACACCCACAUGCUGCAGAGGAAGCUGAAACCCCCCCGCCCCACACGGUCACUGCCAAUCUGAGUUGGGGGCAAAUUCCUUCCCGGCCCUACAUAUGGUGAUCAGCUAGACCCUGAGCAUGUGAGUGACCACCAGCCAGCCAAGAGUCUGAGAGAGAGAGAGUCCUCGGUGUCAUGUCAGAGGCCUAGCCCUCCCCAGCCAAUGUCCCCUCUCCGGCCAUGGCCAUCCUAUAUGCUUCCAAGGAAGGAGAUUGAUAAAAAGAAAACCGGGAUACAUUGGGGAGCUGAGGGAAUCCCUUCCUGACCCCUGCAGGUGGCUGGCUGAAGUCCUAUGCAUGAGCUUUUAGAUGUAAAUCAGAAGCGACCCCAAGGGCUGCCCAGCCCUGCCCCACACCCUCACAAGGAACCCCAUCACACAAUCCCACUCAAAAAUUUGUCCAGAUCUCUCUCAAAACUAAUUAAGUUGUUUGCCUCACAGCUCCUAUUGGGAGGCUGUCCCAGGACCUCACUCCUCGGAUGGUUAGAAACCUUCUAAUUCCCAGCCUGACCUGGUUCAGGGCCAGUUUAUCACCAUUUGUUCCUGUCCUAACAUUGUCCUUUAGCUUAAAUAGCUCUUCUCCCUCCCUGGUGUUUACCCUUCCCCUCUCCUCCUUGAUGUAUUUAAAGAGAGUAAUUGGGUCACUUCCCAGGGGUCCCCCGUGCUAACUGUGGAUUGGCUCCCUGAAACCACCAGCCUCUCGCAACACAAGCACUCCCUUCCAGGCUUCCACUGGCCUCACGCUCUCUCUCUGCAGGUUAGCAAUAAGCACACACCGACCUCAGUCCUCCGAGCAUUCCUCUGGAGCAAGCAGCCUCUGGUCCACUGAAGACUCCCAGAACUCUCAGAUCUAUUAUUCCCAAAGGAACAGUGUAACCUAGCUUGCAAAAUUCAAGUCAGGAGCCCCACUUUACUGAGCACAAUACACUUAGAUAUGUAUAUAUAUAUAUAUAGAGAGAGAGAGAAAACAAGAAUACAUUUAUUAUUAAAAACAGAGAUUCAAGUGAUCGUGAGUAAGAAUAUUGGCCACAAAUGGUUACACAAAAACAAAAUCAUACCAUACUUCCUAGAGCCUAAACUUAACUAACAAUAACAAGGCAUUCCCUGUCCCCUACAAAAUAGCUUAUCCCGAGUCCUUUCCCCAGUAUUUUCACCAGAUGGAUCGAGAUCCCCUUUUCACAAAAUCAAGCCUGCUGGCAGCUUGUCUUCCUGGAAGGAGCCCAGGGUUUCUUUCUGCUCCCCCAACUAUACUAGAACAAACCUUUGAUGGUCACCUUAAAAUAGGGUACUCCCACCCACCCUGUUUACCUCUUCCUGCUACUUUCCUUCUGAAGCCUCCGCCAGCACUUCAACAGCAUUUGACUCAGCGUGGUAAAACAUUGUAUUGUGUGACACGCGCUACCCUGUGGUCCACCAGGGAGAAGUUUGUCUCAAGACACGCUACCUUUCACUGACCUGCUUUUACCUACAGCCCUAGCAAACAUAUUUUUAGUAUAUAUACACACUUCCUCACAUAUUCUCUGUCCAUACAUCUCACGAUGAUUAGGAUGACCAGUGCAACACAGGCUUCCAGUAGAGAACUACACCAUCCCUUUUGAUGAACCCAUGGGAUCCCUGUGCCCCUGUGUGCCCGUGCCCUGUGCCAGUUGGUAUCAAGAGCAUCCUUGAGUCACAGUAAUCAUAUCUCCUUCUUUUGGCUAGGCCAAACAAGCCAAGCUCGUCCAGUUGUCUCUCAUAAGAUAGGCCCUCCAUUCCUCUGAUCAUCCUAGUAGCUUUUCUCUGAAUCUCUUCUAGUUUGAAUUUAUCUGCCAUGAACAUAGAUCUGUCUCUUUCUGGUGUUGGUGUGAAUCUGUUUUAUGUCCAUUCUUGCAGUUCCCUGUACAUCAUUCUCAUUUUUCCUUAGGCUCUGGUCCUUGGCUAUCUCUAUCAUCUCUUACUUUCUUCCGCAGGGACUGGCUUCCCUUCUUUCCUUCCUCACCACCCCAUUGUCUGCCUGUUUCUCCUUCUCACACCCCAGUGCAGCAAACCUGUUACUCAAGCACCACUAGGGUUCUCUUCCUCUGCCUUGUUCUCAUAGUCAUGUCCUUCCAUGGAUCACCCUCCUCUUCUGGCAUUUCACACUCCAGGUCCUUUUGUUCAGCAGGUGUCCGCACGUCUCGAGUUGUCUGUGUCACCUGCUCUCUCCUCUCCUGCAUUAUAGGAAUCCUUGUCUGAAUUCCAUCAUCUCCAGGGGCACCUCUAAUCCUUGGAUCUUCUCUGCCAUGAGCUCUGUCAAGCGAAUUUCAUGCAUAAGUAGCUUCCCGCAGAUAUCCACUCAAGGAUGAAGUACAUCCUGCAGCUUCUGUAUCUGACCGUCUUCUUUGUCUUCUCCCCUCCUCAGGUCACUUCUAGUGCUGCCUCAGUAGCCAUCGCCUUCCUUUCCUAGAUCUUAUUCCUAGAAAAAAAGAAAUGGGGGACAACCCAAACUGCCACAGAAAUGCUGAUCUCCGCUGUUAGCUGCUAGCUGUUUGCAGUCAAGUUCGCUAGUGACUGGCUUUUAAACCUAACCAAGCGAGGUCAGCACCUCCCUUUCCAUAUUACAUCCAUAUUUAGGAGCCUAAAGCAAUGACCUGAUUUUUAAAGGUGCUGAGUACCCACAGCUCCUAUUGGCUACCAUGGGACAACUCACAUUACUCAUGUAAGAGCUGAAGGAUUGGGCCCUUAAUUUUUGUUUCAAGAGCUACUCACAGUGUUUCCAGAACUCAGCGUCGUGAAUUCUCCAUCCAUAAGUCACUGGUCUGGGCUGUCAUUUAUAAUGUUAACUGACCGCCCACCGUUUUGUUUCCUAUCAUAAACAACCAAGAGAGCUUCGGGUAACUCAGGAAAUGGUGUCCGUUUCUAAGAAAUUUGCCUUUGGGUCAUAGCUUAAUCAGACUUCUAGUCUGUUAAUGACAUUUUGUGUAUUUUCCAUAAACAGUAAAAGCUGCCUUGAGAGAGGCUUGAGGGAUUGACAAAUAACAGGUGCUGGACGGAGAUGGCACUUCUGAUAAAAAGAGAAGAACUACUGAACGCAAUAUGCUUGAGACAUUCUAGGGGUCACUCUCUUAGGGUCAAGAUAGUUUCCAGGGAGGGUAGUAUCUUGUAUAGAAUCAUAGAACUGGAAGGGAUCUCGAGAAGUCAUCUAGUCCGUCCCCUGCACUCAAGGCAGGACUAAGUAUUAUCUUGACCAUCCCUGACAGGUGUUUGUCAAACCUGCUCUUAAAUAUCCCCAAUGAUGGAGAUUCCACAGCCUCCCUGGGCAAUUUAUUCCAGUGCUUAACCACUCUGACAGUUAGGAAGUUUUUCCUAAUGUCCAACCUAAACCUCCCUUGCUGCAAUUUAAGCCCAUUGCUUCUUGGCCUAUCCUGAGAGGUUAAGAACAACAAUUUUUCUCCCUCCUCCUUGUAACAACCUUUUAUGUACUUGAAAAUACUAUACAUAUACUUUUGUAUAGGUGUCAUUGUGUAUUGUAGAGAGAGAGCUCUCUGAACGGAAACCGUAAUGUAUGAAGAUUCUUUGCCUAGGGACUCUGAAUGGGUAACCUUUGUUUUCUUUGAACCACAUCUCAAUCAUCUGUUGCUGAAAUGCCCCAGGAGUUACAAUCACACACAGUUAGGGGUUUCCCCCCCGGAAUCAGAACCAUGAGACGCCAAGAAAUGAACUGAUUUUUUCAUCAGUAAUAAGUCCUUGGGCAAGCAGUUAGAUAGGUAGGAAGUAGAAAUGUUUCUUGAGCCAGGCAUAAAGUGGAUGGGCCACUCUGCAAACUGCCCCCAGGUACUGUAGCUGUGUUCAAUGCAUCAGUACAAACAGACAGCGCCACCUGCUAGUCCAUCAAGAGUUGAGACUGUUCUCCUAGUCCCCAGCCUAUCAAACAGUUUUGCUUCUCCGUCUUGACCACGUUAGCAUUAUCUAAGCACUGUUCUCCAGCUCUGAUGGUACUAAGUAGCUGGAAAGCUGGCUUUCCCAGCUGCCUGGAAAUCCCCAUUUCCUAAAGCAGAGGGGGUGGUGGGAGGGAGGGCUUGUUAGAAUAGUAGAUGAUACUGCUGGGUUGGACUGUUGGCAGAGCUGUUGGAGGGCACAGACAGGGCCAGAUUAACGUUAUGAGGGGGCCUAAGGCUAAUGGGAGGAAAGGGCCUAAGAAUGACAUAUUGCAAAAAAAAAUGAUGAUGUCAUCAAACAUUUCUCUACAGACAUAUUUACAUAUUCUUUAUUUAUGUAAAAUUAACAAAUUUAUUCUACUCUCACAACGCUCAAUUCUUCAAAUAGAUACUUCUGAGUAAGAGGUAGCACGAGGGAUGCGACGCUAUCCUUCUCCUGGGCCUCCUUCCUCCGAUCUAGUGGGGUGCUCCUCUGUAUGAGGGUGGACACUGCAACGUCCCCCAUCCUGCUCACCUCUUUCAGGUUUGCGCUUCUACCCUCAGCUCUCCUUCUGCACAGUGCAAAGCCAAGCCCUUUCCCCCAAGCUAUGGCCUUUACACCACAUACCCCAUCUCACUCUGACUGCACUCUGGGAGGUUUUUUGUUGUGUAAAAGAAAACCACUCAGGAGUAAAAUCCACUGAAUUAGAGGAAGUAGUAGUGGGAAAAUGACAUUGAGUGGCAUUGUAUUUUAGCCUGUCCUGCUCUGAAAGCUGCAUCCCAGUGUUGCAGUGGCUGAGGACAAUGAAUUACUGUUUUCACAUUAAACCCAAAUAUUAUUUGUGGGAUCAUACCCAGUUUGUGUAGUUAAUCUCCAGUGAUUCACCACAUCAGGCCAUUCUGUCACCAAGCUCUUCCACAAUUAGAAUCAUAUAAUAGAAUCAUAGGACUGAAAGGGACCUCGAGAGGUCAUCUAGUCCGGUCCCCUGCACUCAUGGCAGGACUAAGUAUUAUCUAUUCUGGAAUGUGUGAUCAGCAGCUCUGACAUGAGGUUUUUUAAGCGUGAGUUCUGUGUGCACCAGCCCCCUAUGGUUUGCAUUUGUUUGUUUUAAACUUUCUGUAAGAAAAAGGUAACAGCUAGGAGUGACACAGAUCUUUAGAUGGUUGGCCGGUCAUAAUAUUUAGCACUUCUGUACUAUGUUAGCUCUUCAGAAUCACUGUACAAAUAUUAAACAAACUUAAUCUUAA